GACGAACGCUGGCGGCGUGCUUAACACAUGCAAGUCGAACGGAAAGGCCCUGCUUUUGUGGGGUGCUCGAGUGGCGAACGGGUGAGUAACACGUGAGUAACCUGCCCUUGACUUUGGGAUAACUUCAGGAAACUGGGGCUAAUACCGGAUAGGAGCUCCUGCUGCAUGGUGGGGGUUGGAAAGUUUCGGCGGUUGGGGAUGGACUCGCGGCUUAUCAGCUUGUUGGGGGGGUAGUGGCUUACCAAGGCUUUGACGGGUAGCCGGCCUGAGAGGGUGACCGGCCACCUUGGGACUGAGAUACGGCCCAGACUCCUACGGGAGGCAGCAGUGGGGAAUAUUGCACAAUGGGCGGAAGCCUGAUGCAGCAACGCCGCGUGCGGGAUGACGGCCUUCGGGUUGUAAACCGCUUUCGCCUGUGACGAAGCGUGAGUGACGGUAAUGGGUAAAGAAGCACCGGCUAACUACGUG
rnacentral:rRNA from 1 species